rnacentral:rRNA from 1 species
UACGUAGGGUGCAAGCGUUGUCCGGAAUUAUUGGGCGUAAAGAGCUCGUAGGCGGUUUGUCGCGUCUGCUGUGAAAACGCGAGGCUCAACCUCGCGCCUGCAGUGGGUACGGGCAGACUGGAGUGCGGUAGGGGAGAUUGGAAUUCCUGGUGUAGCGGUGGAAUGCGCAGAUAUCAGGAGGAACACCGAUGGCGAAGGCAGGUCACUGGGCCGCAACUGACGCUGAGGAGCGAAAGCAUGGGGAGCGAACAGG